rfam:Branchiostoma floridae genomic scaffold BRAFLscaffold_187, whole genome shotgun sequence.
CUCUGUGCAGUUCUAUGUGAUUAGCUAAGGUAGCUGAUACCAUGGCAGCCAGGCUACCAGCUCCAGAGCUGAUCAUAUGGAAGGCACAAGC